AUUGAACACUGGCGGCAUGCUUUACACAUGCAAGUCGAACGGUAACAGGCCUUCGGGUGCUGACGAGUGGCGCACGGGUGAGUAAUGCAUCGGAACGUACCCAGAGGUGGGGGAUAACGCAGCGAAAGCUGUGCUAAUACCGCAUGUGAUCUGAGGAUGAAAGCGGGGGACCGAGCAGCAAUGUUUGGCCUCGCGCCUUUGGAGCGGCCGAUGUCGGAUUAGCUAGUUGGUGGGGUAAAGGCCUACCAAGGCGACGAUCCGUAGCUGGUCUGAGAGGACGACCAGCCACACUGGGACUGAGACACGGCCCAGACUCCUACGGGAGGCAGCAGUGGGGAAUUUUGGACAAUGGGCGCAAGCCUGAUCCAGCAAUGCCGCGUGCGGGAAGAAGGCCUUCGGGUUGUAAACCGCUUUUGGCAGGAACGAAACGGUGUCCGCUAAUACCGGGCGCUAAUGACGGUACCUGCAGAAUAAGCACCGGCUAACUACGUG
rnacentral:rRNA from 1 species